rnacentral:lncRNA from 1 species
UCUUUGAUUUUACUUUUUGCCUGGAACACCCUUUCUAGGAGAAAGGUGUUCCAGUCAUAUGUUCCCAUUAAAAUGCAAUGAUGUUCCAAAAAAAACAAAGGUGUUCCAAGCCCCACUGGAUUGUAAAUUAAAAACAUGUCCAAAUGUAUACAUGUAUAUUUCUAAAUAAGAAUUGGGUAGAAUACACCUGACCUGAACCUAAAUUUUGGUUGGGUACGAUGAAAAUCGAAAUUCAUUUCAUUGCUCCUUGGUAACAAAUUAAUAAGGUAGCGCCAGUUUUUGUCGAGCCUGCAACUUUUGUUGCAAAAAGCUCGACAUAGGGAUAGGGAUCCCACGGCGGGGUUAGCUAACUUCUUAAAAUCUUUAUAUUUUAGAAGGUGGAAUACCUGGAUUCUUCAUACUUUGUAUAUAGAUGCCUCAUGUUACGAACUUUGUCGGUCACAUGUCCAAUGUCCUUGACCUCAUUUUCUUGUUCAGAUUUUUUGUAAAGUUAAAUUCUCUCUGAUUACAGGAUAACUAUAUUUGGUAUGUGCGUACCUUGUAAGGUCCUCAUUCCCUUCAGACAGUUUUCACUUGACCUGGACCUCAUUUCAUGGAUCAGUGAAUAAGCUUAAGUGUUGGUGGUCAAGUCCAUAUCUCAUAUUCUAUAAGCAAUAGGUCUAGUAUAUUCAGUGUAUGGAAGGACUGUAAUGUGUACAUGUCAAACUGACAGGUGUCAUCCGACCUUGACCUCAUUUUCAUGGUUCAGUGGUUAUAGUUAAGUUUUUGAGUUUUGAUCUAUAUAUCUAAUACUAUAUACCAUAGGUCAACUAUAUUUGGUGUAUGGAAAUAUUUUAUGAUCUUUAUGUCAGUGGCCUAGGUUUUAUUUGACCUUGACCUCAUUUUCAGGGUUCAUUGCUCAGUGAUAAGUUUUUGUGUUUUGUUCUGUUUUUUGUCCAGCCUGCAACUUUCGUUGCAGACAGCUUGACAUAGGGAUAGUAAUCAGGCGGCGGUGUUAGCUAACUUUUUAAAAGCUUUAUAUUUUAGAAGGCGGAAGACCUGGAUGCUUCAUACUUUGUAUAUAGAUGCCUUAUGUUAUGAAGUUC